rnacentral:rRNA from 1 species
GACGAACGCUGGCGGCGUGCUUAACACAUGCAAGUCGAACGGAAAGGCCCUGCUUUUGUGGUAUGCUCGAGUGGCGAACGGGUGAGUAACACGUGUGUAACCUGCCCUUGACUUUGGGAUAACUUCAGGAAACUGGGGCUUAUACCGGAUAGGAGCUUCUGCUGCGUGGUGGGGGUUGGAAAGUUUCGGCGGUUGGGGAUGGACUCGCGGCUUAUCAGCUUGUUGGGGGGGUAGUGGCUUACCAAGGCUUUGAGGGGUAGCCGGCCUGAGAGGGUGACCGGCAACAUGGGGACUGAGAUACGGCCCAGACUCCUAGGGGAGGCAGCAGUGGGGAAUAUUGACCAAGGGGCGGAAGCCGGAGGAAGCAACGCCGCGUGCGGGAUGACGGCCUUCGGGUUGUAAACCGCUUUCGCCUGUGACGAAGCGUGAGUGACGGUAAUGGGUAAAGAAGCACCGGCUAACUACGUG